rnacentral:rRNA from 1 species
UUAAGCGACUAAGCGUACACGGUGGAUGCCCUGGCAGUCAGAGGCGAUGAAGGACGUGCUAAUCUGCGAAAAGCGUCGGUAAGGUGAUAUGAACCGUUAUAACCGGCGAUGUCCGAAUGGGGAAACCCAGUGCAAUUCGUUGCACUAUCGUUAACUGAAUACAUAGGUUAACGAGGCGAACCGGGGGAACUGAAACAUCUAAGUACCCCGAGGAAAAGAAAUCAACCGAGAUUCCCCCAGUAGCGGCGAGCGAACGGGGAGCAGCCCAGAGUCUGAAUCAGCUUGUGUGUUAGUGGAACGGUCUGGAAAGUCCGACGGUACAGGGUGAUAGUCCCGUACACCAAAAUGCACAGGUUGUGAACUCGAAGAGUAGGGCGGGACACGUGGUAUCCUGUCUGAAUAUGGGGGGACCAUCCUCCAAGGCUAAAUACUCCUGACUGACCGAUAGUGAACCAGUACCGUGAGGGAAAGGCGAAAAGAACCCCGGCGAGGGGAGUGAAAAAGAACCUGAAACCGUGUACGUACAAGCAGUGGGAGCACCUUCGGGUGUGACUGCGUACCUUUUGUAUAAUGGGUCAGCGACUUAUAUUCUGUAGCAAGGUUAACCGUAUAGGGGAGCCGCAGGGAAACCGAGUCUUAACUGGGCGUUAAGUUGCAGGGUAUAGACCCGAAACCCGGUGAUCUAGCCAUGGGCAGGUUGAAGGUUGGGUAACACUAACUGGAGGACCGAACCGACUAAUGUUGAAAAAUUAGCGGAUGACUUGUGGCUGGGGGUGAAAGGCCAAUCAAACCGGGAGAUAGCUGGUUCUCCCCGAAAGCUAUUUAGGUAGCGCCUCGUGAAUUCAUCUUCGGGGGUAGAGCACUGUUUCGGCUAGGGGGUCAUCCCGACUUACCAACCCGAUGCAAACUACGAAUACCGAAGAAUGUUAUCACGGGAGACACACGGCGGGUGCUAACGUCCGUCGUGAAGAGGGAAACAACCCAGACCGCCAGCUAAGGUCCCAAAGUCAUGGUUAAGUGGGAAACGAUGUGGGAAGGCACAGACAGCCAGGAUGUUGGCUUAGAAGCAGCCAUCAUUUAAAGAAAGCGUAAUAGCUCACUGGUCGAGUCGGCCUGCGCGGAAGAUGUAACGGGGCUAAACCAUGCACCGAAGCUGCGGCAGCGACACUAUGUGUUGUUGGGUAGGGGAGCGUUCUGUAAGCCUGCGAAGGUGUGCUGUGAGGCAUGCUGGAGGUAUCAGAAGUGCGAAUGCUGACAUAAGUAACGAUAAAGCGGGUGAAAAGCCCGCUCGCCGGAAGACCAAGGGUUCCUGUCCAACGUUAAUCGGGGCAGGGUGAGUCGACCCCUAAGGCGAGGCCGAAAGGCGUAGUCGAUGGGAAACAGGUUAAUAUUCCUGUACUUGGUGUUACUGCGAAGGGGGGACGGAGAAGGCUAUGUUAGCCGGGCGACGGUUGUCCCGGUUUAAGCAUGUAGGCUGAUUAUCCAGGCAAAUCCGGAUAAUCAAGGCUGAGGUGUGAUGACGAGGCACUACGGUGCUGAAGUAACAAAUGCCCUGCUUCCAGGAAAAGCCUCUAAGCAUCAGGUAACAUCAAAUCGUACCCCAAACCGACACAGGUGGUCAGGUAGAGAAUACCAAGGCGCUUGAGAGAACUCGGGUGAAGGAACUAGGCAAAAUGGUGCCGUAACUUCGGGAGAAGGCACGCUGGUGUGUAGGUGAAGUCCCUGCGGAUGGAGCUGAGACCAGUCGAAGAUACCAGCUGGCUGCAACUGUUUAUUAAAAACACAGCACUGUGCAAACACGAAAGUGGACGUAUACGGUGUGACGCCUGCCCGGUGCCGGAAGGUUAAUUGAUGGGGUUAUCCGUAAGGAGAAGCUCUUGAUCGAAGCCCCGGUAAACGGCGGCCGUAACUAUAACGGUCCUAAGGUAGCGAAAUUCCUUGUCGGGUAAGUUCCGACCUGCACGAAUGGCGUAAUGAUGGCCAGGCUGUCUCCACCCGAGACUCAGUGAAAUUGAACUCGCUGUGAAGAUGCAGUGUACCCGCGGCAAGACGGAAAGACCCCGUGAACCUUUACUAUAGCUUGACACUGAACAUUGAGCCUUGAUGUGUAGGAUAGGUGGGAGGCUUUGAAGCGUGGACGCCAGUCUGCGUGGAGCCAACCUUGAAAUACCACCCUUUAAUGUUUGAUGUUCUAACGUUGGCCCCUGACCGGGGUUGCGGACAGUGUCUGGUGGGUAGUUUGACUGGGGCGGUCUCCUCCCAAAGCGUAACGGAGGAGCACGAAGGUUAGCUAAUCCUGGUCGGACAUCAGGAGGUUAGUGCAAUGGCAUAAGCUAGCUUGACUGCGAGCGUGACGGCGCGAGCAGGUGCGAAAGCAGGUCAUAGUGAUCCGGUGGUUCUGAAUGGAAGGGCCAUCGCUCAACGGAUAAAAGGUACUCCGGGGAUAACAGGCUGAUACCGCCCAAGAGUUCAUAUCGACGGCGGUGUUUGGCACCUCGAUGUCGGCUCAUCACAUCCUGGGGCUGAAGUAGGUCCCAAGGGUAUGGCUGUUCGCCAUUUAAAGUGGUACGCGAGCUGGGUUUAGAACGUCGUGAGACAGUUCGGUCCCUAUCUGCCGUGGGCGCUGGAGAAUUGAGGGGGGCUGCUCCUAGUACGAGAGGACCGGAGUGGACGCAUCACUGGUGUUCGGGUUGUCAUGCCAAUGGCACUGCCCGGUAGCUAAAUGCGGAAGAGAUAAGUGCUGAAAGCAUCUAAGCACGAAACUUGCCCCGAGAUGAGUUCUCCCUGAGACUUUAAGUCUCCUGAAGGAACGUUGAAGACGACGACGUUGAUAGGCCGGGUGUGUAAGCGCAGCGAUGCGUUGAGCUAACCGGUACUAAUGAACCGUGAGGCUUAACCUU